UUUUCUCUGAAACAUUUUUGUCAAGGAAGUCUGUUCUUAUCAGCUUGAUAUGUGAUAUGCUCUUGAUCUAGGAGCUGCAUGUUAAAAUGACUGAUGGAACAGGGAAAUGGCUUUGGAGCUUGUGCUGUCCACAGCUCACAUUUCCCUGGGAUCUUUUGUUCUUCCCAAACUGGCGUGCUUCCUU